rnacentral:lncRNA from 1 species
CCCAGUCCAAAAUUUUAAGUUUAUUUCUAGCCCAAUAACUCAAGACAAAUCCCAAGUCCAUUACUCUCUUAGUCUCUUUCCCUUGUUUCUAAGGAUUGAAAUUAGAAUUAGGUUUCUUUCAAUUCUCAAGAAAGAAGUGAAGAUCAGAUCGGCUGUGAGCUUGUGGCUGCGACUGCGAGUACUGCGAUAGAGAUGGCGUCACGGCGACUUCACGACCUCGGCACCGAAGACUUUCAAGUGUGACGGCUUGUUUCCUCAUUUUUGAUCUCCAUUCUUCAAUCUUCAACUCUUCAACAGGUUCACAACUUCUCCAUUCUUCAAUCUUCAGUUUGUAACUUUGUAUUCUGUAACCAAUAGCUUAUUUUUUGGGUGCAAAAGGCUAUAUAUACUGUAAACAAAUUUCGUCCCAACUUGCUAAGAAAUUAAGCCGAAUGCAGAAACUUAGAAUGCCUUUUUAGUUAGAGCAGAACAUUUGAUGAAAUAUUCUUGUGUUGAUCCUUUUAGAUAAGCCUAAGAGCUAAGGUAUGUGAUAAACAAUUGAAUAUCUGAAAUUGUUGUACUUUGAAAGUUAUUAAGGACCUCUUCUAUAUCAUUCCAAGCAAAUUGCAACCAGGCAGGAUGUGUGAGGCAAAUAUAAAUAAAUUCUUUUAUGCUUUGCUUUGAACGCAAUGUUAAAAAGAUCGAAAAAUUGGCCAAACCAAAAUCAGAUUCUAAAGCUUUUAUGCGAAUCACUUUGCAAGUACCAUUAAAAAAAUAAAUUGUAUACAUGGAAUACUGGAAUCUCUGGUUUCUUCCCUUUUCAUUUUCAUGCAUAUAACACACAGGAAGAACUGGCAGUAAUUGUUGAGACAUGAUUCGAAACUAAGCCAAUAGUAUUACAGGUUGUGUCUCCAUCUGCGCUUUAGUAUAAUUAAAGGUGCAAUAUUUACUGCUAAGAAAAUAAUUAAUAAGGAGUAUAUCAGUAUAUCUAAACUCAAAUCUAGUCUCAAUUUGUGUUUUACUGUUUGUAUUAGUUUUAAUUUUGUAUAGAUUGUAGAUGUAAGUAGAGUAAGUGAUGCCGAUUCAACUGAAAGAUUACCUAUUACGGAAGAUAGCAACACCAACACAAUUGAUACUCAAGAUUUCAAGAAAAGAAAAGCCAUAGAACCUAGAUCCGAAGUUUGGAAACAUUUUGAUAAAUUUGAGUUGGUGAAAAAUACAUGCUCCUAGAUUUCCUAUUCUUUCAGAGUUGGCUCGUGAUGUGUUGGCCAUUCCAAUUUCUAGUGUAGCGUCGGAAUAUGUGUUUAGCCUCGGUGGUCGUAUUCUUGAUUUAUUUAGGAGUUCAUUGACUCCUAAAUGCGUGCAAGCUCUUGUUUGUGUUCAAUAUUGACUUAGAGAAGAGAAGAAUCAUAUUAGUGUUGAAGAAGACUUGGAGUAUCUUGAGGAACUCGAGCUUGGUAAGCUUUAAUUUUUUUGUGUGUAUUUUAGUUCAAAAUAAUAUAUUACACUUGUUUAUUUAUUUGACAUAUUUGGUCGAAUUAUCUUUAGAUAUGGAAAAUAAUGAAAGCACUACUACCAUUGUUUGAUCACUUUGAUAUAUAGGUUCAACUUGAGUGGUGAGUUUAAUACUCUAUUUGUUUGAUGAUAUACUUUUGUAGUUUUGAUCUUUUAUCAUCAAAAAAUAAUAUUCUAACUUAUGAUUUUAUCUUCUUUUUUUUAGGUUCAAGUUCAAUCAUGCCCUGUGCUCCUAAAGUACGCUCUCAUAUUUGGGAACACUUUGAGGUGGUAGAAGAUAACAGAGAAGUUCGCACUAUGUUGAUGUUGUUGUUGCUUGCCGGCUUAUUAGUUAAACUUACAACUUUAUGUUUGGCAGAAUGGCAGUAGCCAGUAGGUUUGCAAACUUUGCAUAAUAUUGCUGUUGUGACUUGUGAGCCUAUGGAACUUUAGUUGUUAUUACUUAUUAGUAUAAACUUAAAUUCUGUUUGGCAGGUUUAUGCCCUCUCUGUUUUUGUUGCAUUGUGUUUAAUGAUGCUGCUACUCGUUAGUGGUUGUUGCAUGAUGCAUCUAUAUUUUUGUUGCAUCUGUGUAAAGCAUAAAUUUGAAUUAAAAAUUUUGUUGUUGGGUUAGAAAUUCUGUUGCUCAGAGUUUUCAGUAUGAUUUUGUAGUCCAUUUUUGGUUUUAGUGGUGCUGAUGCCUCAGG